CACCAGCCACCCUGCCUUGGAAAAGGACCUUGAUUUUUUCCCCCUCUCUAAAUUCUCUGAAGACUGAAGUUCCUUAAGGACUAAGAAAACACUUGCCCCUCUUCCAGUGACUUUUCCUGGCCCCGGGAGCCAGCUGGGCCAACUGACGUCAGGACACCGAUGGCCUGCGAGCGGCGUGCUGAAUCACCCCCGCCCCAAGUGGACGCCCCAGUCUCUACCUGCGUGUUGCUUUGUCCUUCACAGGUCAGGGCGUUGGUUUUCUUUUUAAAUAAAUAAAGCUGAACCUGACUCACAACUCAACUCAAGAGAGGCUGCCGCUCAGCUCAGCGUCACCAUGGUAACUGCUCCAUCCAUAGAACACUUGAAAAUCUUAACACUCAAUCAAGACUCAAGACACAUACGAGCUGACAGAGGCUCCAGGUGUGCCUGAUUUAAGAGACCUCCAAACGCCUAGACUGAUACAGUUCUCCACCGAAACGGUUCCGGAUCAUGCUCGUCGGUCACCCGGGGAGACUGGAAGAAAUGCAGAUUCUAGGCCCCCCAACACGAAUUGCUUCAGGUAUUUGGGUAUGGUCUUGAGGAUUCUGUAUUUGAGGCACACAGCCGGCUGAACUCUAACAUCUGAGAAUUUAGAUUUGACUGGGUUCCUGGAGAGCAGGGACCAUGUCUUCCCUGAGACAUCCCCAGGGACUGGUGCAGGGCAUGACCCCGAGUAGGGACACAAAAGGCAAAGGUUGAACUUGAGGGAAGAAUGAAUUGGGGGGCACCUGGGUGGCUCAGUCGGUUAAGCGUCUGUCUUCAGCUCAGGUCAUGAUCCUGGAUCCUGAGAUCGAGCCCCACAGCAGGCUCCCUGCUCAGCAGGGAGUCUGCUUCUCCCUCUCCCUCUGCCCCUCCCACAUGCUCAUGCCUUCUCUCUCUCUCUCAAAUAAAUAAAUAAAAUCUUAAAAAAAAAAAAAAGAAUGAAUUGGGGCCCAUGAAGUCCCCUUGCCUCAGGACCAUGUCCACCCCUGGCUCCCGAGAGUCCACAGUCCCCUUCCACUCACUCCUUACCCUCAGCCACCAACCCCCUUGUCCCCCACCCCAUCUUCCUCCCGUCCAGGGCAGAACUGCCCACCAGCCUCUGCCCCUGUCCCUCUGCCCCCUGCACUGUGACUUCCUCUGAAAGGGGAACAAAGGUAUACACCUGUUGUCAAAAAGCUUUACUUUAUUUUUGCAGAAACAAAUUUAGACUGGUAAGCCAGCUUUCAAGACACUAUCCUGUUACCUCAGCAAAAUGUCUUGGGUGGUCACCCCCAGGGUAUAGAGGAAAGGUUGGGAUCUCUUCCUCUGACAAGUUUUAACCACAGAAGAGCCUUAUUUGCUAGAGCAAAACACCCAAAUAUCAAGGAAGAGGGCGUUGGGUCUAUGAGCACUCUUACCUGCAUAUUAGGGAACAUGAAGCAGCCAUGAAAAUGGAAGAAUAUUUAAUGAUGUUGUCAAACGUUCACCAAAAAAAAAAAAAAAAAAAGAGAGAGAAAAAAAUGGGAUAUACAACUAGGUGCCCUAGGAAGAUAUUUGUAAAAUGCGACCGAGAAGCCAGUUAGCCCCCCAAAAUCUGUUCUUCCUUUUUUCUAUAGUAAUAAGAGCUCUACUCAGAUAAAUCCUAUUUCCUGGUGGUGGUGGGGGGGCAUGGGACUUAGUUCUGGCAAGGUGCUAUGAGUAGGUGUGAUGCAUGUGAAUUCCAGGAAGCGCCCCUUUGAGGAAGAGGGCGUCUCUCUUCUUUACUGAAAGAAGCCGUCUUCCUCCAUCAACCUUCCUGGGGCCCUAGUGGGAGGCAUACGCUGACGAUGGAGAACCCCAGGUAGAAGGGGUCUGGAUUCCUUGAUGGUCACGGGACUGCUAUACCAGCCAGGGCUGCUUACUUCCAGACAUCAUUUCCUAGAGAGCGAAACGAGCAUGUUGAAGCCACUGUUCCUUUGGGUUUUCUGUCAUUUGUAGCUGAAACAAUCCUAAUUGAUGUCAGAUGUAUUGUUAAAUAAACAACAGAAUGUGAGCUAAAAAUAGUAGGAAUCAUAGGAUUCCAAUUUUAUUGCAAAAUGUAUGUUUCCGUAUAUUUACCUGUGUACCUGAAAAUGUGGACAGGAUGGUUCAACACAAAAAUGUUAGCAAAGGUUAUUUUAGCAGGCUGUAGGAUUUUGUGUGUUCAUUUGUUUGCUUGUCUGUAUUUUCUAACUUUUCUACAACAAAAGUGUAUUACUUUUUGGGUAAGAAAAACUAAUAAAUGCUAUAAAUUGUAUGAUCCUAAUGGGAUCUAUAUGGAUCGCAAUCAUAAGAAAUAUACCUUAUUCAUGAUUACAUGGGGAAAAAUGCUGAAAUGAAGAGAAGUGCAUUAACAAUUAAGAUCCAAGGGCGUGGGAAACUGUUCAAAAUAUAUUGUGAAGGGGAUAUAUAUAUAUAUAUAUAUAUAUAAUUUAUAAAAUAUAUUGUGAAGGGGAAACAAUGAAACAAUAUAAAGCCAUUUUUUGGGUAAUAAGAAUAAAAUGAACCUAAAAUAAAUACAAUAUUAUAUGUCAAUUAUACUUCAAUUAAAAAAAAAAA